CCAACUUCUCGGCCUUUUGGCUAAGAUCAAGUGUAGUAUCUGUUCUUAUCAGUUCUUACUGUUAUUUAGCAUAUACCCUGUUUUCUAGUAUUUGCUCAUUAGACCAAUUUAUUAGACCAGUAUAAAAUAAUAGCCCAUUUUUAAGUUGUGCUCUCUAAUACUACAAACUUAAGCAAGUCUUC